GAUGAACGCUAGCGGCAGGCUUAAUACAUGCAAGUCGAGGGACAGCACAGGUAGCAAUACUGGGUGGUAACCGGCAAACGGGUGCGGAGCACGUGCACAACCUUCCUUUAAGUGGGGGAUAGCCCAGAGAAAUUUGGAUUAAUACCCCGUAAUAUAGUUGAAUGGCAUCAUUUGAUUAUUAUAGCUACGGCGCUUAAUGAUGGGUGUGCGGCUGAUUAGAUAGUUGGCGGGGUAACGGCCCACCAAGUCUACGAUCAGUAGCUGAUGUGAGAGCAUGAUCGGACACACGGGCACUGAGACACGGGCCCGACUCCUACGGGAGGCUGCAGUAAGGAAUAUUGGUCAAUGGACGCAAGUCUGAACCAGCCAUGCCGCGUGAAGGAUUAAGGUCCUCUGGAUUGUAAACUUCUUUUAUUUGGGACGAAAAAGGGCCUUUCUAGGUCAACUGACGGUACCAGAUGAAUAAGCACCGGCUAACUCCGUGCCAGCCGCCGCCGUAACAC
rnacentral:rRNA from 1 species